GGCCCAUGUAAGGUAAUCCAUGCACUCCUUGGAUUCUGGAUUCCACUCCUUGGAUUCCGGACAGUUCCACUCCUUGGAUUCCAGAUCCCACUACUAUAGACUAAUUGGAUUUACUCAGGAUUCCAGAAAAUUAGCCCAAAAUAAGGAUUCAGGAUUCCUCCGAUGUUUGGAUUCUGGAUUCCUCGAUUACCGUACAUGGGGCCACCUGAAUAUCACCAACAUUCAAUAUUUUAACCUGGAAAGAUAUUAUUAUUCACCAUGCACCUUGAAUGGUCCACAACAACGUUCAUCAACUAUAGCAACCUACCAAAAUCGUGAACGAAUCCCUACGAAC